AACGAACGCUGGCGGCAUGCCUAACACAUGCAAGUCGAACGAGACCUUCGGGUCUAGUGGCGCACGGGUGCGUAACGCGUGGGAGUCUACCCUUGGGUUCGGAAUAACAGUUAGAAAUGACUGCUAAUACCGGAUGAUGACGUAAGUCCAAAGGUUUAUCGCCCAAGGAUGAGCCCGCGUAAGAUUAGCUUGUUGGUGGGGUAAUGGCCUACCAAGGCGACGAUCUUUAGCUGGUCUGAGAGGAUGAUCAGCCACACUGGGACUGAGACACGGCCCAGACUCCUACGGGAGGCAGCAGUGGGGAAUAUUGGACAAUGGGCGAAAGCCUGAUCCAGCAAUGCCGCGUGGGUGAUGAAGGCCUUAGGGUUGUAAAGCUCUUUUACCAGGGAUGAUAAUGACAGUACCUGGAGAAUAAGCUCCGGCUAACUCCGUGCCAGCCGCCGCGGUAA
rnacentral:rRNA from 1 species